rnacentral:rRNA from 1 species
AGUGAACGCUGGCGGUAGGCCUAACACAUGCCAGUCGAACGGCAGCACAGUAAGAGCUUGCUCUUACGGGUGGCGAGUGGCGGACGGGUGAGGAAUACAUCGGAAUCUACUUUUUCGUGGGGAUAACGUAGGGAAACUUACGCUAAUACCGCAUACGACCUACGGGUGAAAGCAGGGGAUCUUCGGACCUUGCGCGAUUGAAUGAGCCGAUGUCGGAUUAGCUAGUUGGCGGGGUAAAGGCCCACCAAGGCGGCGAUCCGUAGCUGGUCUGAGAGGAUGAUCAGCCACACUGGAACUGAGACACGGUCCAGACUCCUACGGGAGGCAGCAGUGGGGAAUAUUGGACAAUGGGCGCAAGCCUGAUCCAGCCAUACCGCGUGGGUGAAGAAGGCCUUCGGGUUGUAAAGCCCUUUUGUUGGGAAAGAAAAGCAGCAGGUUAAUACCCCGCUGUUCUGACGGUACCCAAAGAAUAAGCACCGGCUAACUUCGUG